AAAAAGUUUAAGAAAAAAUUAUUAUAAAUAUUUUUAGUUUGCAUAGUCACGAAAUAUUUUUCUCAUUUAAUCAAGACUACUCUAAAUAAUUUUGAAAACUCUCAUAGGAACCAAAAAUCUCAAAAUCUAGUGCUUAAAGAUCAUGUGAUGACGUGGUUACAUUUAAUGUAUAUGAAUGGGAUCUUAGCAUAUUUUAUGAUGAUGUUGGUCUUUAAAUUGAGCAUAAACUCAGAGAAAAGCGUAUUCAAUUUAUUCCCUGUCAAAAUUGCUUUUAAUUUUAGCUGCAGAAGGAAGGGUGCAUACUUUUUUAAAUCAAAAAGAGUAAAAAAUGUUUGUUUUUUUAAUAAUUUUUAAUUAACUAAUUAAUAAUUUUUUAUAAAAAUAAAUAAUAAAAUAAUACUGGAUUUAAAAGUGUUUUGAAUAAAAAAUAUUUUUAAAAAUAAUUUUAAGUCUGUAGCAAACUUACCUUGGAACAUUAAACGGGUAUGACGAAAGUUUCGCCGCAUCAAAGUGUUAUUGUAAAUUUGUGCCGAUCAGGAAUGAAAGCAGCUACAAUCGCAACAAGGCUCAAGUGCUCAAUUCCAUUGGUCUGCAAAGUUCUGGCGCAAUGGAGAAAGACGGGUGACGUACAGGAGAAGAAAAAAGAAGGCCGCCCAAGAACUGUGAACACUCGGAAGGCUUGAGGAAUAAUCAAGAAGCGCAUCACCAGAAAUGACGGCGUGACUUAAUAAGAUGGCAAAAAAUCUUGGAAUGGCUCGAUUGACUCUUCAAGCGAUUGUGCACUAUGAUCUUGGACUCAAAAGCUAUUGACUUUUGAACGGACAACAGCUAACAGAUCAAGUGAAACAAAAACGCCUCGAAAAGUGCCAGGAAUUGAAGAAGUUUAUUCGAGUGCGCCGUUUUGAGGAUGUCUUAUGGUCGGACGAAAAAGUUUUCACCAUUGAAGUUGCCAAGAACUCUCAAAAUCACCGACAACUCUUGUCACCAGGUCUAAAGACAGCCGCAGAAGAAAAGUUACAACAAAGACGCUGUUUCCAAAAAGUUUAAUGGUGUGGGGAGGAGUCUCGACAAACGGCACAACGGAGCUGAUUUUUAUCAACAAAAGCAUUAAGAUUAACGCCAAAACUUACCAAGAUGAGAUUAUCAAGAAGGUCGUUAUCCCAUGAAAACAAAAAAAACCCAGGAAUAAUCUUCAAACAAGACUGGGCGCCUACCCACGGAGCCAAAAGCACGCUAGCUUUCUUGGACACGAAAAUCAAGGAUUACCUGGGGAAAGAUUUGUGGCCUCCAAAUUGCCCCGAUCUAUCACCACUCGAUUUUUUCGUUUGGGGCGUUUUAGAUGAACAUUUGCCUCACCAGAAAAUCAAAAAUUUGCAAGAUCUUCGUCGUGAAUUGUUAAAGGCCUGGCCUACUUGCGGCGCACGGUUGAGUUGGUCAAGAAGCGAAUUCAAGCAUGUAUCGACGCAGAUGGCGGACACUUCAAA